GGGAACAGUCAUAGGAACAUUACCAGGGUGGGCAUAAAAUGAAGGCAAAAAAAUUAAAGUCAGAUACUGUGAACAAAGAAGCAUCAGGACAUAAUUGGGUCUUCAUCAGAUUUACUCAGGCCUGGGUGCUCGGUGAUUUUCCACAAAUCACAUGAGCCAACAGGACUUUCCACACCGUUGUUUAUACUCAGAAUUUCAAGAGUAGAGCUACUGAUCAGCCUCCUAGCACCACAGUGAAGAGCUACCCAUCCUGGCCGAGCUCAGACACCCACUACGCAUAUAUUUAGAUGAAUA